CCCUUAGAUGUCCUGGGCCGCACGCGCGCUACACUGACAUGUUCAACAAGUUUCUCCUAGUUCAACAGGACUGGGAAAUCUUUGAACGCAUGUCGUGAUAGGGAUAGAUCAUUGCAAUUAUUGAUCUUGAACGAGGAAUUCCUAGUAAACGCGAGUCAUCAGCUCGCAUUGAUUACGUCCCUGCCCUUUGUACACACCGCCCGUCGCACCUACCGAUUGAAUGUUUCGGUGAAGAUUCCGGAUAGGACUGAUUUGAUUUAUUUCAUUUCUGACCUAAAAGCUAUCUAAACCUCAACAUUUAGAGGAAGGUGAAGUCGUAACA
rnacentral:rRNA from 1 species